GAUGAAGAACGCAGCGAAAUGCGAUAAGUAAUGUGAAUUGCAGAAUUCAGUGAAUCAUCGAAUCUUUGAACGCACAUUGCGCCCGUCAGUAUUCUGGCGGGCAUGCCUGUUCGAGCGUCAUUACGCCCCUCAAGUCCCCUGUGGACUUGGUGUUGGGGAUCGGCGAGGCUGGUUUUCCAGCACAGCCGUCCCUUAAAUUAAUUGGCGGUCUCGCCGUGGCCCUCCUCUGCGCAGUAGUAAAACACUCGCAACAGGAGCCCGGCGCGGUCCACUGCCGUAAAACCCCCCAACUUUUUAUAGUUGACCUCGAAUCAGGUAGGACUACCCGCUGAACUUAAGCAUAUCAGUAAGCGGAGGA
rnacentral:misc_RNA from 1 species